AUUGAACGCUGGCGGCAGGCUUAACACAUGCAAGUCGAGCGAGCGGCGGACGGGUGAGUAAUGUCUGGGAAACUGCCUGAGGGAGGGGGUUACCUACUGGAAACGGUACCUAAUACCGCUUACCAUCAGAUGGGCCAGGAUGGGAUUAGCUAGUAGGUGGGGUAAUGGCUCACCUAGGCGACGAUCCCUAGCUGGUCUGAGAGGAUGACCAGCCACACUGGAACUGAGACACGGUCCAGACUCCUACGGGAGGCAGCAGUGGGGAAUAUUGCACAAUGGGCGCAAGCCUGAUGCAGCCAUGCCGCGUGUGUGAAGAAGGCCUUCGGGUUGUAAAGCACUUUCAGCGAGGAGGCGUUACUCGCAGAAGAAGCACCGGCUAACUCCGUGCCAGCAGCCGCGGUAAUUC
rnacentral:rRNA from 1 species